rnacentral:rRNA from 1 species
AUUGAACGCUGGCGGCAGGCCUAACACAUGCAAGUCGAGCGGAUGAAGGGAGCUUGCUCCUGGAUUCAGCGGCGGACGGGUGAGUAAUGCCUAGGAAUCUGCCUGGUAGUGGGGGAUAACGUCCGGAAACGGGCGCUAAUACCGCAUACGUCCUGAGGGAGAAAGUGGGGGAUCUUCGGACCUCACGCUAUCAGAUGAGCCUAGGUCGGAUUAGCUAGUUGGUGGGGUAAAGGCCUACCAAGGCGACGAUCCGUAACUGGUCUGAGAGGAUGAUCAGUCACACUGGAACUGAGACACGGUCCAGACUCCUACGGGAGGCAGCAGUGGGGAAUAUUGGACAAUGGGCGAGAGCCUGAUCCAGCCAUGCCGCGUGUGUGAAGAAGGUCUUCGGAUUGUAAAGCACUUUAAGUUGGGGGGAAGGGCAGUAAGUUAAUACCUUGCUGUUUUGACGUUACCAACAGAAUAAGCACCGGCUAACUUCGUG